AGCAAUUAAAACAGUAACAAACAUAAAGGAAGUAAUAAAUAGUAAUACAAUGAUAAUAGGUGACUUUAACACCACACUUAGACUGAUGGGCAGAUCGUCCAAACAGAAAAUCAACAGGG